UAGGGAAUCUUCCGCAAUGGACGAAAGUCUGACGGAGCAACGCCGCGUGAGUGAAGAAGGAUUUCGGUUCGUAAAACUCUGUUGUUAGGGAAGAAAAAAUGUAUAGUAACUAUAUACAAAAGAGACGGUACCUAACCAGAAAGCCACGGCUAACUAAGUGCCAGCAGCCGCGGUAAUACGUAGGUGGCAAGCGUUGUCCGGAAUUAUUGGGCGUAAAGCGCGCGCAGGUGGUUUAGAAAGACUGAUGUGAAAGCCCACGGCUCAACCGUGGAGGGUCAUUGGAAACUAAUAAACUUGAGUGCAGGAGAGAAAAGUGGAAUUCCUAGUGUAGCGGUGAAAUGCGUAGAGAUUAGGAGGAACACCGGUGGCGAAAGCGGCUUUUUGGCCUGCAACUGACACUGAGGCGCGAAAGCGUGGGGAGCAAACAGG
rnacentral:rRNA from 1 species